CUGGUGUGUUGUUAUCGUUUUUAUCUGGUGGAAGCUUUCGAAUGUUUUGAAUUAAUGAAAAGCAACGUCAAUACUCUUGAUGUAGCGACACUUGCUUCGACUGGUCGGCACGCUGAUAACAACCGUUUAGAGGUCAUGGACGAUGAUGAAUUCGGAAGAUGACGAACACUUAUGGAAUUGGUUGGUUACUAGAGGACUGCUGUAGACAACAAUGUUGAGCUUAUCUUAUCGCUGGACAGGGCUGCUGGUGAAAACAAAACGCAAACAUUGCAGACAUAUCAGCUUACAACGAGAGAUUAUUAGCUAGUUAAAUUGAUGAUAAGACGAUUUAAUGGUAUUUUGAUGCCUCUUUCAAUUUUUCCCGGUGGUGGUUAUUGGAACUUACUAUCCAAUAUUUCUCUGAUAAACAAGUUCACGAUCCUUUUUUCAAUUCACAAAACAAUCAUAAUACAAGAAUUUACAUUGGGAAGUUGUUGCUUUUCUAUUAUCUUUGCUAAAUUUCAUGUUGAUUAAAAAAAUUAAGCAAAUUAUUGAGUAUGUUCGGUCAUAGUUGGGCAGUUUUAAUGAAAUUUAACCUUUACUGUAAUUGCAACCGUAUGAAUCUCCUAAAGGAUAACAAAAAAAAAAAAAA